rnacentral:tRNA from 3 species
GCGGUAAGGCAACGGGUUUUGGUCCCGCUAUUCGGAGGUUCGAAUCCUUCCGUCCCAG